CCCUUAGAUAUCUUGGAAUGCACGCGGGAUACAAUAAUUGUGAUAAUAAGUUUAAUUUGAGUAUGGAGGGUGCUUUUGUACCUUCCAACCAGAACCUGACUUGAAAGGGUUGGGAAAUCUCAAAAUCGCAAUUUUGACAAGGAUUGUCUCUUGUAACAGAGGCGCGAAAGAGGAAUACCUCGUAGGCGUGAGUCAACACCUCGCACCGAUUAAGUCCCUGCUUUUUGUACACACCGCCCGUCGCAUCAAGGAACACGAUUGAAGUCAUGAAGCUUGCAGACUGUGCAGUGAUGCGUAGGAAGCAAACUGAAUGGUUUUAAUCUUACCAUGAUGAAGUCGUAACA
rnacentral:rRNA from 1 species